CUUCCGUUCGUUUCUUUUGCACAUCUCUUUCUUGCUGCCGUCAUGGCAUUGGCCGGGUGAUGCUCUUGUGUGCUGAGGUUCAUUGGUUGCGACGGUCCCGCGGCUCCACACCGCAUCGUCGUCUCUCUUGUGCUCUGGUCCGUUCUGGGUGCUCACUUCGUUCCCUGCUCUUUCUGUCCCCUCUCAAGAUGGCGGAGAUGGACGUCUGGGCGGCUAGCCUGCUGCUGCUCCCCUUUCCCUCCCCGUCGAUCGCUCCCCGCCACCCGCCGCUCCCCAGGUUCCUCUUCCUCGGCGCCUUCGUCCCGCCCUGCCCACCCGCGUUGCGCCUCCUCCUGUCCCCCUCCAUGCGGCCGACGGUGGUGUCGUACCCCGAUGGAGCGACGCAGAUGUAGACAACUAACGCCGGCCGCUCCUGGGGCGGUGGACACGUCCGUUGCAUGCGUCGGACGUAGGGGGCGGUCGGCGACAGUUGGGUCCGGCAGGCAGCAGCUGCCAGCAGAGGCCGGGGUGGCGGAGGCAGCUGCUGCGCGCGGAGGCCGGCUGGCUACCGGCCGGAUGCGGGCAGUGCGGGCAGCGGAGGUCGGGGUGGUCUUCACCGGACCUCGUGUCAAUAUGAGUCGGCCGUCGGGGCCCUGCCCGCCUGCGCUGCGCCUCCUCCGUCCCGCUCCUCACGGCUGACGCUGGUGUCUGUUUAAUAUUUUUAGUAUUCUUACUACUAUAUGUCACAUACUCCAAGCAGAACGACAAGUUCCAGUGCACGGCCUACUCGGAGAUGUCUCUGAUGGCGAGCCUCAGCAACCCGUACAUCGUCGACUACAAGGACGGUUGGGUUGAUGAGGGGACCUCUGCCUGCAUUGUGACAAGUUACUGUGGAGGAGGUGGCAUGGCUAAGAGGAUCAAGAAGGCAAGGGGUGUCCUUUUCUCUGAAGAGAGGGUGUGCCGAUGGUUCACACAAUUGCUCUUGGCGCUUGACUAUCUGCACUGCAACCGUGUGCUCCACCGUGACCUCAAAGUGUUGAAACAUUUUGUUAACGAAGGAUGAUAACGUCCGGCUUGCUGAUUUUGGGCUAGCAAAAUUGCUCAUGGAGGACCUUGCCUCAACGAGUGUGGGAACCCCGAACUACAUGUGCCUAGAAAUACUACCGGACAUACCUUAUGGUUACAAAUCUGAUGUAUGUUCACUUGGUUGCCGUAUGUUCGAGCUCUUACCACACCGCCCUGCAUUCAAAGCUGCAGACAUGGCAUCAUUAGUCAACAAAAUAAACAGGUCUUCAAUAUCUCCACUGAAGCAGAUAGUUAAGAGCAUGCUAAGGACAAAUCCAGAACAUAGACCCACUGUAAGUACCACAGACUCAGUUUCACUGUUCCAAUCGAAGGCACCGACAGAACACUUGCCAUUCAAAGUUAAACUGAAAAAGAACAGCAGAGUUACAUAGUAGAUUACAGAGCCAAGGGACUUUUGUCAUCUGUAAAGCAUUUGGAUGAUUAUUUUUCUGUAAUAUUUUCCUUUUGUCUCCCCAGGUACUUGAAUGCUAUGUUGGAAUUAUUAAUUGGGCUAAGGCCAUGUAUAGAAUAAUUCCUAGGAAAAUCACAAAAGCCCACCUCAUGUAACAUGUAUGAGACAUUUAGUACCACCUUGCUAGUUCUACGAGAGUGAGACCUCCUUAAAUAGGAGAGUGCUCUCUAGGCUCUUGAGCAAGAAGGAAAUAGAGCAACACGCGUGCGCUCGCUCGCCUGGCUUGGGCCGGGCCGGGUGGCGCGCGCGCAUGACAUGCGCGUGAAUGGUCCGCUAAAAUUGGCUCCUCGUGCUUGCGCAGAUGCGGCUUCCUUUUGCAGUUUUGUUUUGCUGCAUGAAACAGAAAUUCCGGUGAUCAGUUUUUGGAAACUUACGUAUCGGAUUCUUUCUUGCGCGAGAUAGCAUAGAGUCUGGAUAGGUUACGUGCGGCCUAUCUGGUUCGGUUACAACGUGGUAGGCGUGCUGAUCACACGUCCUAUAAAUACCAGACCGCUAUCUCGUUGCAAUGUACGUGAAAAACAAUCUAGGGUUUGCCUCUCCUCUGCGCUGCGCCGCCACUGUCGUCUACUCCGUCCCCUUUGUCGGCAUGCACCAGCGAUCAGGAAGGCAGGUCUCCGGAACCAUCGUCCUUGUGAAGUCCUGCACCGGGAGAGGGCGAAUAAGGUUUUUGGGAAGCGCUCUGCGCGACUGCUUACUGUUCGUCAACGAUGGCUCGUCUUCCUCGUCGAUCGGUCGCGGCUCGCCGUCGUCAACAUCCUACGCCGCGAGUCGUUCGUGCUGCUUCUAAUCCUCUUCAAAACAACC